AGUGAACGCUGGCGGUAGGCCUAACACAUGCCAGUCGAACGGCAGCACAGUAAGAGCUUGCUCUUACGGGUGGCGAGUGGCGGACGGGUGAGGAAUACAUCGGAAUCUACUUUUUCAUGGGGGAUAACGUAGGGAAACUUACGCUAAUACCGCAUACGACCUACGGGUGAAAGCAGGGGAUCUUCGGACCUUGCGCGAUUGAAUGAGCCGAUGUCGGAUUAGCUAGUUGGCGGGGUAAAGGCCCACCAAGGCGACGAUCCGUAGCUGGUCUGAGAGGAUGAUCAGCCACACUGGAACUGAGACACGGUCCAGACUCCUACGGGAGGCAGCAGUGGGGAAUAUUGGACAAUGGGCGCAAGCCUGAUCCAGCCAUACCGCGUGGGUGAAGAAGGCCUUCGGGUUGUAAAGCCCUUUUGUUGGGAAAGAAAAGCAGCAGGUUAAUACCCCGCUGUUCUGACGGUACCCAAAGAAUAAGCACCGGCUAACUUCGUG
rnacentral:rRNA from 1 species